UCCGUAGGUGAACCUGCGGAAGGAUCAUUACAGUGUUACUGCCCUCGCGGGUGGCAACCACACCCUUGUGUAUUAUAUUUUUAUUGCUUUGGUAGGCCGCCUUCGGGCGCUGGCGUUAGCUAGAGAGUGCCUACCGAAGACCCCAAACCCUGGUUAUACAUGUCGUCUGAGUACUAUUUAAUAGUUAAAACUUUCAACAACGGAUCUCUUGGCUCUGGCAUCGAUGAAGAACGCAGCGAAAUGCGAUAAGUAAUGUGAAUUGCAGAAUUCAGUGAAUCAUCGAAUCUUUGAACGCACAUUGCGCCCCUUGGUAUUCCGAGGGGCAUGCCUGUUCGAGCGUCAUUAAAACCAAUCCAGCUUGCUGGGUCUUGGGCUUCGCCAGCUGGCGGGCCUUAAAAUCAGUGGCGGUGCUGCCGGGCUCUAAGCGUAGUAAAUAUUCUCGCUUUUGGGCUUUGGGAGUUGCUUGCCAAUAACCUCUAUUUUCUAAUGGAUUGACCUCGGAUCAGGUAGGGAUACCCGCUGA
rnacentral:rRNA from 1 species